rnacentral:rRNA from 1 species
GACGAACGCUGGCGGCGUGCUUAACACAUGCAAGUCGAACGGAAAGUGCCCCUUCGGGGUGGACUCGAGUGGCGAACGGGUGAGUAACACGUGGGUGAUCUGCCCUGCACUUUGGGAUAAGCCUGGGAAACUGGGUCUAAUACCGAAUACACCCUGCUGGUCGCAUGGCCUGGUGGGGGAAAGCUUUUGCGGUGUGGGAUGGGCCCGCGGCCUAUCAGCUUGUUGGUGGGGUGAUGGCCUACCAAGGCGA